rnacentral:rRNA from 1 species
GAUGAACGCUAGCGGCAGGCCUAACACAUGCAAGUCGAGGGGUAUGGCAGCAAUGCCAGAGACCGGCGCACGGGUGCGUAACGCGUAUGCAAUCUACCUUUUACAGAGGGAUAGCCCAGAGAAAUUUGGAUUAAUACCUCAUAGUAUAUUUUAGUGGCAUCACUAGAUUAUUAAAGUUCCAACGGUAAAAGAUGAGCAUGCGUCCUAUUAGCUGGAUGGUAAGGUAACGGCUUACCAUGGCUACGAUAGGUAGGGGUCCUGAGAGGGAGAUCCCCCACACUGGUACUGAGACACGGACCAGACUCCUACGGGAGGCAGCAGUGAGGAAUAUUGGACAAUGGGCGCAAGCCUGAUCCAGCCAUGCCGCGUGCAGGAAGACGGUCCUAUGGAUUGUAAACUGCUUUUGUACGGGAAGAAACACUCCUACGUGUAGGAGCUUGACGGUACCGUAAGAAUAAGGAUCGGCUAACUCCGUGCCAGCAGCCGCGGUAAAAC